rnacentral:rRNA from 1 species
CCUACGGGUGGCUGCAGUGGGGAAUAUUGGACAAUGGGCGAAAGCCUGAUCCAGCCAUGCCGCGUGUGUGAAGAAGGCCUUCGGGUUGUAAAGCACUUUCAGUGGGGAAGAAAGCCUUGGGGCUAAUACCCUCGAGGAAGGACAUCACCCACAGAAGAAGCACCGGCUAACUCCGUGCCAGCAGCCGCGGUAAUACGGAGGGUGCGAGCGUUAAUCGGAAUUACUGGGCGUAAAGCGCGCGUAGGCGGUCUGAUAAGCCGGUUGUGAAAGCCCCGGGCUCAACCUGGGAACGGCAUCCGGAACUGUCAGGCUAGAGUGCAGGAGAGGAAGGUAGAAUUCCCGGUGUAGCGGUGAAAUGCGUAGAGAUCGGGAGGAAUACCAGUGGCGAAGGCGGCCUUCUGGACUGACACUGACGCUGAGGUGCGAAAGCGUGGGUAGCAAACAGGAUUAGAUACCCCAGUUC